CGUCGUGAGACAGUUCGGUCCCUACCUGUUGCGGGCGUAGGAUACUUGAGGAGAGCAUUUCCUAGUACGAGAGGGCCGGAAAUGACGAACCGCCUGUGUACCUGUUAUUUUACCAAAAGUAGCGCAGGGUAUCGGUGUUCGGAAAGGAUAAGCGCUGAAAGCAUAUAAGCGCCAAGCCAACUCCAAGAUAAGGUAUCCCAACCCUAAGGGUUAAGAAGAUCCGUCGAAGACUACGACGUUGAUAGGUAAGAGGUGGAAGUGCCGUAAGGCAUGUAGCUGACUUAUACUAAUUGAUCGUUCGGCUUAACUUUC
rnacentral:rRNA from 1 species